CGAAUUGUAGUUUAGAGAAGCGUUUUCUGGGACGGCCUGGGUGUAGGUCCUUUGGAACGAGGCAUCAUAGAGGGUGAGAAUCCCGUGCCGCCUAGGUUCCGUUCCUUUGUGAUACGCUUUCUACGAGUCGGGUUGUUUGGGAUUGCAGCCCAAAAUGGGUGGUAAAUACCAUCUAAAGCUAAAUAUUGGCGAGAGACCGAUAGCGAACAAGUACCGUGAGGGAAAGAUGAAAAGAACUUUGAAAAGAGAGUUAAACAGUACGUGAAAUUGCCAAAAGGGAAGCGCUUGGAACCAGUGUUGCAAUCCGUAAUCAGCCGCUCUUCGAGUGGUGCACUUGCGGUGAGCAGGUCAGCAUCAGUUUAGCCUGGGCUAAAAAGCUUGUGACGGCCCUCCGGGGUCAGCGCUUGUUAUGGCCUGGGUUAGACUGAGGUCCGCUAACAGGAUGCUGACAAAAUGGUUUCAAACGACCCGUCUUGAAACACGGACCAAGGAGUCUAACAAAUACGCGAGUAUUCGGGUG
rnacentral:rRNA from 1 species